UACGAAGGGGGCGAGCGUUGUUCGGAAUCACUGGGCGUAAAGGGCGCGUAGGCGGCACCUCUUGUCGCGUGUGAAAGCCCGGAGCUCAACUCCGGAAUUGCCAUUGAAACUGUUUAGCUCGAGUACGAGAGAGGUGAGUGGAAUUCCCAGUGUAGAGGUGAAAUUCGUAGAUAUUGGGAAGAACACCGGUGGCGAAGGCGGCUCACUGGCUCGUAACUGACGCUCAUGCACGACAGCGUGGGGAUCAAACAGG
rnacentral:rRNA from 1 species